ACACCCAGGGAGCUUCCCCUGUGCACCACGCCCCUGCGCACCCAGCAGUGCCUCCAGGGGUCCCCACCAGGGCCUCCCAGCGCUGGGAAAGGAGGCUUGGUGCCUGCUGCACGUCCUGGGGCUGCCAGACGGGUCUCAGGCCUGGUUCUCACUACAGCCUCUCUCUUCCUGUCCGUCCCUCCUGUCCGUCCCUCCUGUCUGUCCCUCCUGUCCAUCUCUCCUCCUGUCCGUCCCUCCUGUCUGUCCCUCCUGUCCGUCCCUCCUGUCCGUCCCUCCUGUCUGUCCCUCCUGUCCGUCCCUCCUGUCUGUCCCUCCUGUCCAUCCCUCCUGUCCGUCCCUCCUGUCUGUCUCUCCUCCUGUCCGUCCCUCCUGUCUGUCUCUCCUCCUGUCUGUCCCUCCUGUCCGUCCCUCCUGUCCAUCCCUCCUGUCUGUCUCUUUGUCUGUCUCUCCAUCCCUGUCUCUCCCUUUGUCCAGGGGUUUGCUUUGUUACCCUCUUGGUUCCCCCCACCCCCAACUGUUGCCCCCCCGGCUGUCUUGGGAACAUUCUGGAACAGCUCCCCAUGGAGGGUCCCAGGACGGUGUGAGCUGGGUCUCAGACCCUCCCUCUCAAGUCCUCUGCAGCCUGAUCCUUCGUGCCUGCCCAGAGGGGGCCCUGCCAGCCCUGGUGGGCAGCUGGGAGGGAGCCAAGGCUCACCCAGCAGGGCCCCACAGGGCAGGCACAGGGGCUGGGGCGGGACACCGGAAGGAGCUGUGCCGACUACGCUCGUGGGACCUGGACUGAGGCUCUGCAGCUCAGCCUCAGUUUCUCCAUCUGUGAAAUGGGCUCUGUCAGCCCAGCCUCAGAGGGAUCAGGGCCUCUGCUGUCCUCCACUGCCCGGCUCAGCCUCCUCUCCCAAGCCCCGUUCUCCGUCUCCUUGGGUGCAGGCCCAUCGGGCCGUCACCUGUGAUUGCCACUGGUGCCCCCAGACUCCUGGCUAUGGUUGUUGGGAACGCCCCAGGCUGGGGGAGGGUGGGGGCGGAGCCACCAGUGAUGGAGCCCCACCCCGGGGAGCCCCGAGCGCCCUGCCCUGGGCCCCCGCCCUCUGUCAUCCUCGGGUGACACGCGGGGAACGGUGCACUCUGACUGUGUCCAGCCUGGACCUGCGUGGAACCGGAACUGGCCGGCGCUCGGCCUGCACCCUCACUUCCACCCCCUGA
rnacentral:lncRNA from 1 species